UACGGGGGGGGCAAGCGUUGUUCGGAAUUACUGGGCGUAAAGGGCUCGUAGGCGGCCAACUAAGUCAGACGUGAAAUCCCUCGGCUUAACCGGGGAACUGCAUCUGAUACUGGAUGGCUUGAGUUCGGGAGAGGGAUGCGGAAUUCCAGGUGUAGCGGUGAAAUGCGUAGAUAUCGGAAGGAACAUCAGUGGCGAAAGCGGCUUCCUGGACCAGCACCGACGUUCAGGCACGAAAGCGUGGGGAGCAAACAGG
rnacentral:rRNA from 1 species